rnacentral:rRNA from 1 species
UACGAAGGGGGCUAGCGUUGCUCGGAAUCACUGGGCGUAAAGGGUGCGUAGGCGGGUCUUUAAGUCAGGGGUGAAAUCCUGGAGCUCAACUCCAGAACUGCCUUUGAUACUGAGGAGCUUGAGUCCGGGAGAGGUGAGUGGAACUGCGAGUGUAGAGGUGAAAUUCGUAGAUAUUCGCAAGAACACCAGUGGCGAAGGCGGCUCACUGGCCCGGUACUGACGCUGAGGUGCGAAAGCGUGGGGAGCAAACAGG